rnacentral:rRNA from 1 species
GCAAAAUGAAUAGUUUUUUAAUUGGAAACUGGGAUGAAAGGUAGAAACUCAAGGGGUUGUUUUGUUUAAUUAGUUUGAAGUUAAAUUAAAGGUUAAAAUGCCUUUAUAAUUUCCUGGGACGAGAAGACCCUAGAAGCUUAAAAUUAUUUUAAAGGGAACUUUUUUUAUUGGGGCAAUAUUUGAAGAGGUUAAUCUUUGAAAAAUAAAAAUAAAUUGUGAGGAAGUUACUCUAGGGAUAACAGCGUUAUCUAAUUGGUGAGUUCUUAUUAAUAAUUAGGUUUGCGACCUCGAUGUUGAAUUAAAU